rnacentral:rRNA from 1 species
GAUUAAGUUAUUAAGGGCGCACGGUGGAUGCCUUGGCACUAGAAGCCGAAGAAGGACGUUACUAACGACGAUAUGCUUUGGGGAGCUGUAAGUAAGCGUUGAUCCAGAGAUUUCCGAAUGGGGAAACCCAACAUGAGUUAUGUCAUGUUAUCGAUAUGUGAAUACAUAGCAUAUCAGAAGGCAGACCCGGAGAACUGAAACAUCUUAGUACCCGGAGGAAGAGAAAGAAAAAUCGAUUCCCUGAGUAGCGGCGAGCGAAACGAGAAGAGCCCAAACCAACAAGCUUGCUUGUUGGGGUUGUAGGACACUCUAUACGGAGUUACAAAAGUAUAUAUUAGACGAAUCAUCUGGAAAGUUGAAUCAAAGAAGGUAAUAAUCCUGUAGUCGAAAAUAUAUACUCUCUUGAGUGGAUCCUGAGUACGACGGAGCACGUGAAAUUCCGUCGGAAUCUGGGAGGACCAUCUCCUAAGGCUAAAUACUCUCUAGUGACCGAUAGUGAACCAGUACCGUGAGGGAAAGGUGAAAAGUACCCCGGAAGGGGAGUGAAAGAGAACUUGAAACCGUGUGCUUACAAGUAGUCAGAGCCCGUUAAUGGGUGAUGGCGUGCCUUUUGUAGAAUGAACCGGCGAGUUACGAUUUGAUGCAAGGUUAAGCAGUGAAUGUGGAGCCGUAGCGAAAGCGAGUCUGAAUAGGGCGUUGAGUAUUUGGUCGUAGACCCGAAACCAGGUGAUCUACCCUUGGUCAGGUUGAAGUUCAGGUAACACUGAAUGGAGGACCGAACCGACUUACGUUGAAAAGUGAGCGGAUGAACUGAGGGUAGCGGAGAAAUUCCAAUCGAACCUGGAGAUAGCUGGUUCUCUCCGAAAUAGCUUUAGGGCUAGCCUCAAGUGAUGAUUAUUGGAGGUAGAGCACUGUUUGGACGAGGGGCCCUUCUCGGGUUACCGAAUUCAGACAAACUCCGAAUGCCAAUCAAUUUAACUUGGGAGUCAGAACAUGGGUGAUAAGGUCCGUGUUCGAAAGGGAAACAGCCCAGACCACCAGCUAAGGUCCCAAAAUAUAUGUUAAGUGGAAAAGGAUGUGGCGUUGCCCAGACAACUAGGAUGUUGGCUUAGAAGCAGCCAUCAUUUAAAGAGUGCGUAAUAGCUCACUAGUCGAGUGACACUGCGCCGAAAAUGUACCGGGGCUAAACAUAUUACCGAAGCUGUGGAUUGUCCGUAGGACAAUGGUAGGAGAGCGUUCUAAGGGCGUUGAAGCAUGAUCGCAAGGACAUGUGGAGCGCUUAGAAGUGAGAAUGCCGGUGUGAGUAGCGAAAGACGGGUGAGAAUCCCGUCCACCGAUUGACUAAGGUUUCCAGAGGAAGGCUCGUCCGCUCUGGGUUAGUCGGGUCCUAAGCUGAGGCCGACAGGCGUAGGCGAUGGAUAACAGGUUGAUAUUCCUGUACCACCUAGUAUCGUUUUAAUCGAUGGGGGGACGCAGUAGGAUAGGCGAAGCGUGCUAUUGGAUUGCACGUCCAAGCAGUAAGACUGAGUGUUAGGCAAAUCCGGCACUCGUAAGGUCAAGCUGUGAUGGGGAGAGGAAAUUGUUUCCUCGAGUCGUUGAUUUCACACUGCCAAGAAAAGCCUCUAGAUAGAUAACAGGUGCCCGUACCGCAAACCGACACAGGUAGUCAAGAUGAGAAUUCUAAGGUGAGCGAGCGAACUCUCGUUAAGGAACUCGGCAAAAUGACCCCGUAACUUCGGGAGAAGGGGUGCUCUUUAGGGUUAACGCCCAGAAGAGCCGCAGUGAAUAGGCCCAAGCGACUGUUUAUCAAAAACACAGGUCUCUGCUAAACCGUAAGGUGAUGUAUAGGGGCUGACGCCUGCCCGGUGCUGGAAGGUUAAGAGGAGUAGUUAGCUUCUGCGAAGCUACGAAUCGAAGCCCCAGUAAACGGCGGCCGUAACUAUAACGGUCCUAAGGUAGCGAAAUUCCUUGUCGGGUAAGUUCCGACCCGCACGAAAGGCGUAACGAUUUGGGCACUGUCUCAACGAGAGACUCGGUGAAAUCAUAGUACCUGUGAAGAUGCAGGUUACCCGCGACAGGACGGAAAGACCCCGUGGAGCUUUACUGUAGCCUGAUAUUGAAAUUCGGCACAGCUUGUACAGGAUAGGUAGGAGCCUUUGAAACGUGAGCGCUAGCUUACGUGGAGGCAUUGGUGGGAUACUACCCUAGCUGUGUUGGCUUUCUAACCCGCACCACUUAUCGUGGUGGGAGACAGUGUCAGGUGGGCAGUUUGACUGGGGCGGUCGCCUCCUAAAAGGUAACGGAGGCGCUCAAAGGUUCCCUCAGAAUGGUUGGAAAUCAUUCAUAGAGUGUAAAGGCAUAAGGGAGCUUGACUGCGAGACUUACAAGUCGAGCAGGGUCGAAAGACGGACUUAGUGAUCCGGUGGUUCCGCAUGGAAGGGCCAUCGCUCAACGGAUAAAAGCUACCCCGGGGAUAACAGGCUUAUCUCCCUCAAGAGUUCACAUCGACGGGGAGGUUUGGCACCUCGAUGUCGGCUCAUCGCAUCCUGGGGCUGUAGUCGGUCCCAAGGGUUGGGCUGUUCGCCCAUUAAAGCGGUACGCGAGCUGGGUUCAGAACGUCGUGAGACAGUUCGGUCCCUAUCCGUCGUGGGCGUAGGAAAUUUGAGAGGAGCUGUCCUUAGUACGAGAGGACCGGGAUGGACAUACCUCUGGUGUACCAGUUGUCGUGCCAACGGCAUAGCUGGGUAGCUAUGUAUGGACGGGAUAAGUGCUGAAAGCAUCUAAGCAUGAAGCCCCCCUCAAGAUGAGAUUUCCCAACUUCGGUUAUAAGAUCCCUCAAAGAUGAUGAGGUUAAUAGGUUCGAGGUGGAAGCGUGGUGACACGUGGAGCUGACGAAUACUAAUCGAUCGAAGACUUAAUCAA